UCACCUACGGGCGGCUGCAGUAGGGAAUAUUGGACAAUGGGCGAAAGCCUGAUCCAGCCAUGCCGCGUGAGUGAUGAAGGCCUUAGGGUUGUAAAGCUCUUUCAGCGGGGAAGAUAAUGACGGUACCCGCAGAAGAAGCCCCGGCUAACUUCGUGCCAGCAGCCGCGGUAAUACGAAGGGGGCUAGCGUUGCUCGGAAUCACUGGGCGUAAAGCGCACGUAGGCGGCUUUCUAAGUCAGGGGUGAAAUCCCGGAGCUCAACUCCGGAACUGCCUUUGAUACUGGGAAGCUCGAGUUCGGGAGAGGUGAGUGGAACUGCGAGUGUAGAGGUGAAAUUCGUAGAUAUUCGCAAGAACACCAGUGGCGAAGGCGGCUCACUGGCCCGAUACUGACGCUGAGGUGCGAAAGCGUGGGGAGCAAACAGGAUUAGAUACCCCGGUAGUCC
rnacentral:rRNA from 1 species